GACGAACGCUGGCGGCGUGCUUAACACAUGCAAGUCGAACGGAAAGGCCCUGCUUUUGUGGGGUGCUCGAGUGGCGAACGGGUGAGUAACACGUGAGUAACCUGCCCUUGACUUUGGGAUAACUUCAGGAAACUGGGGCUAAUACCGGAUAGGAGCUCCUGCUGCAUGGUGGGGGUUGGAAAGUUUCGGCGGUUGGGGAUGGACUCGCGGCUUAUCAGCUUGUUGGUGGGGUAGUGGCUUACCAAGGCUUUGACGGGUAGCCGGCCUGAGAGGGUGACCGGCCACAUGGGGACUGAGAGACGGCCCAGACGCCUACGGGAGGCAGCAGUGGGGAAUAUGGCACAAUGGGCGGAAGCCUGAGGCAGCAACGCCGCGUGCGGGAUGACGGCCUGCGGGUUGUAAACCGCUUGCGCCUGUGACGAAGCGUGAGUGACGGUAAUGGGUAAAGAAGCACCGGCUAACUACGUG
rnacentral:rRNA from 1 species